rnacentral:rRNA from 1 species
ACUCCUACGGGAGGCAGCAGUAGGGAAUAUUGGUCAAUGGGCGAAAGCCUGAACCAGCCAUGCCGCGUGUCAGAUGAAGGUCCUCUGGAUUGUAAAUGACUUUUCUACGGGAAGAAUGAGCCGUCUGCGGACGGAAGUUGACGGUACCGUAGGAAUAAGCACCGGCUAACUACGUGCCAGCAGCCGCGGUAAUACGUAGGGGUGCAAGCGUUGUCCGGAUUUACUGGGGUUUAAAAGGGUACGUAGGCGGUUGUGCCAAGUCUGGGGUGAAAGUUUGCAGCUCAACUGUAAAAUUGCCUUGGAUACUGGUCGGCUAGAGUAGUGGAGCGGUGGCUGGAAUUUAUAGUGUAGCGGUGAAAUGCUUAGAUACUAUGAGGAAACACCAAUUGCGAAGGCAGGUCACUGGUCACUAACUGACGCUGAGGUACGAAAGUGUGGGGAUCAAACAGGAUUAGAUACCCUGGUAGGAUA